CAAUUAGGGUUAGCAAGUUCCUCAACGGCUUUGAGCCUCCACCCAAGCGGAUGCGUUCUGUCUCUUUCUCUCUCUCUGUCUUUAUAUUUUACAGAUGGUUUUUGAGGUUGAGUUCCGUUUAAUAUGAUUGGUUUAUUGUUUGUGUUUGGUGUGAAAUGUGUGGGUCGCACAUAGUUCUUCUUGGAAUGUUAUUCUCUGGUUCCAGGAUUUUAUUUGUGCGUAAAUCGAUAUCCUUUCUGCUUGAACCUUCUCCUUUCAAUGGGGAUGUGUUCCAAUGUUUACUGGAUCACAAUUUUUCUUCUUUCAACAUUUUAAAUUUUUAUUUAUCAUACACUUGGAUUCUUAUUUGCUACUAUGAUUUUAAUUUUUUUUUUCUUUGAGGUUUCAUAUAUCAGCUGCUAUUAAAUCAUCUUGAAGUUUCUUGAUAGGCGGACUUUUGUUCGGGGAACCAAAUAUUUGGACACCAAUUUCUAACCCAGAUUAAAAAAAGGUGAAAAAAGUACAAAUUUUCGAACAAGGUUGGCCGAGAGUUAAAGGUGAUCCCUGAGAAAAGAUUAGCUCUCGGUAAAGGAGAAUAAUUUUGAAACAAAUUGUUUCCCAAUCUCAAUUAUUCCUUCGAAUUUGUAUUUGUAAUAUUGGUUUUUUUUUGUCCAACAAAUACAAACGGAAGUGCCAGUUGUGGAGCAAGAUGUGCCAAUAUUUUGAAAUUAUUAGGGGGUUUACUAAUCUGGCCAUGAUUGUUUCUUUCUGGUGGAAUUGUUUAUUUCCAGGUAGGGUAAUCUUGAAAUUGUUUGAAUUUAUUUUUGUUUCUAGGUACUAUUAUCUUGAAUUGCUUGGGCUUUUCUCAUUUCUUGUAAUGAUUUUCUUGAAAUAACUGGAUUCUUUUGCCGCAUAAACUUCUAAAUGUGCUAAAAUAUUGGCAAACUUUAAUCAUUCGUAAAUUAAUCACCCACUCCUCCACCGCCUUGACCCGAUCUUGUGGUUGGUUGGAAACAGCUCCCAAGAAAUCCUGAAUGGUGAGUAAUGACUGGCGAAGCCGUUUGAGUUCUGCUUUGAAACCCCAAGCAAGACUGAGUCCUUGAGGGUGGAAGUUGACGGUAAACAAAGAAGAAGAUCCGCUAAUCGACUAGAUAUUCUCUGUACGCAAGAAUGAGACAAUUGUAAAGACAAGGGAUUCCAAAAUUGGUAAGAACGCAUUGUAGUGCCUUUACAAGUGUCUAAUCCCUCAUCUAUAUCAUACUGAUCUUCAUCAAUAGAGCUAAAUCUAUCAGUUUGAUGGCCCACUGAACUUCCAUGAACCUCAAAUGCUUCAUUAAUCUCCUUCAUGUCUAUUUCCUCAGCAGAAUUUAGUUCAGAAACUUCACUGGCAUAACUCCUGGUAUCCCCUUUGGAUGUUUUUAUACUCGGUGCCUUUGAAGCUCUACGUAGUUUUUGACACAAGUACUCUACUUCUCUCUGCCCAGUGACAAAGACGAGUAUGCCCCCAUGUGGC
rnacentral:lncRNA from 1 species